GAAUGGAUUGAUCACUGUCCUUUGUGACGAUCCUUCGAUCGGGAGCAUUUAGAAAUUAACCACUAAUGAUGUAUGUCUCAAAUUCUCAAUAUCUUGAGAAUAUACAAAAUCACCUUUGUUAAUUUUUGAGACAAAUCAUUGACACAUAAACAUGAUUGGUAAUUAAAACUACUCAACAAAUACAAAACAUGCCCUAGAGAAAAGUAUAUG
rnacentral:lncRNA from 1 species